ACAGAACAGAGUCUGUAAAGCAACUUUUGUCCCAUCUGUCCCGUCCAGACCUUCCACACAGGAUCCCUCAAAGUCAAAGAUUUCCCAGAUCAGCUCCUGCAGGAUGCACAGGUAUUUUGGACAAGUUCUCUCUACUGUUGUCACUACACUACUGUAUUAUGAGCAUUGCUAGUUAAUUGUUUUUUUUUU